AGCUGAACGAGAACUUCUCGCACCACGUGCAAGUUUGUCCGCCAAAGUAUUUUAUGCUCUUGGAAUAUGUCUGAUCCGGAAGUCAGGGAAGAAAGUUUUAUUGCGGCUGAAUUCUUCCAUGUGUGUAGAGAAAGAUGGUUAUUCUUCAGGUGUUGACACCAUCUUCACCAAUUGAGAACAAUCCGUCGCAAAAACUACAUCAGAAAAUUGCAGGGUCUUCAUGCACUCCAUUGCCCAAAUUAGUGUUUCACAUUAAGCAUGCAGAGGUGACAGGCUUCUACGAAGAUUCAUCGCCCCCAUCAUAACAUCUGUCGAGCCACUCUUUCUGCAGAACCACCAUUGUCCCGUAAAUAUAUCAUUUUCUUUCCAGGCUCCAUCAAUAUAACAAACCCUGGUAUUUUCCA
rnacentral:lncRNA from 1 species